GACGAACGCUGGCGGCGUGCUUAACACAUGCCAGUCGAACGGAAAGGCCUCUUUCGGGGGGUACUCGAGUGGCGAACGGGUGAGUAACACGUGAGUAACCUGCCCUUGACUUUGGGAUAACUUCAGGAAACUGGGGCUAAUACCGGAUAGGAGCUCCUGCUGCAUGGUGGGGGUUGGAAAGUUUCGGCGGUUGGGGAUGGACUCGCGGCUUAUCAGCUUGUUGGUGGGGUAGUGGCUUACCAAGGCUUUGACGGGUAGCCGGCCUGAGAGGGUGACCGGCCACAUUGGGACUGAGAUACGGCCCAGACUCCUACGGGAGGCAGCAGUGGGGAAUAUUGCACAAGGGGUGGAAGCCUGAUGCAGCAACGCCGUGGGCGGGAGGACGGCCUUCGGGUUGUAAACCGCUUUCGCUCAUGACGAAGCUUUGUGUGACGGUAGUGGGUAAAGAAGCACCGGCUAACUACGUG
rnacentral:rRNA from 1 species